UACGGAGGGUGCAAGCGUUAUCCGGAUUCACUGGGUUUAAAGGGUGCGUAGGAGGGCAGGUAGGUCAGUGGUGAAAUCUCCAAGCUUAACUUGGAAACUGCCGUUGAUACUAUCUGUCUUGAAUACCGUGGAGGUGAGCGGAAUAUGUCAUGUAGCGGUGAAAUGCUUAGAUAUGACAUAGAACACCAAUUGCGAAGGCAGCUCGCUACACGAAUAUUGACUCUGAGGCACGAAAGCGUGGGGAUCAAACAGG
rnacentral:rRNA from 1 species